rnacentral:rRNA from 1 species
UGCAAGUCGACGAUGAAGCCAGCUUGCUGGUGGAUUAGUGGCGAACGGGUGAGUAACACGUGAGUAACCUGCCCUUAACUCUGGGAUAAGCCUGGGAAACUGGGUCUAAUACCGGAUAUGACUCCUCAUCGCAUGGUGGGGGGUGGAAAGCUUUUUGUGGUUUUGGAUGGACUCGCGGCCUAUCAGCUUGUUGGUGAGGUAAUGGCUUACCAAGGCGACGACGGGUAGCCGGCCUGAGAGGGUGACCGGCCACACUGGGACUGAGACACGGCCCAGACUCCUACGGGAGGCAGCAGUGGGGAAUAUUGCACAAUGGGCGAAAGCCUGAUGCAGCGACGCCGCGUGAGGGAUGACGGCCUUCGGGUUGUAAACCUCUUUCAGUAGGGAAGAAGCGAAAGUGACGGUACCUGCAGAAGAAGCGCCGGCUAACUACGUGCCAGCAGCCGCGGUAAUACGUAGGGCGCAAGCGUUAUCCGGAAUUAUUGGGCGUAAAGAGCUCGUAGGCGGUUUGUCGCGUCUGCCGUGAAAGUCCGGGGCUCAACUCCGGAUCUGCGGUGGGUACGGGCAGACUAGAGUGAUGUAGGGGAGACUGGAAUUCCUGGUGUAGCGGUGAAAUGCGCAGAUUUCAGGAGGAACACCGAUGGCGAAGGCAGGUCUCUGGGCAUUAACUGACGCUGAGGAGCGAAAGCAUGGGGAGCGAA